rnacentral:lncRNA from 1 species
GAACUAGCUAUGACAGCUUACAAAAAAGCUCCACCAGCAAAAAUGAGGCUUGUCAAAUCAGAUUUGGGGAAGGUGUGAUGCGAUUGUUGACGGAAUCAGAUAGGAACCAGACUGAGAACAUAUGUGCUUCAACUGAAAAGAGAUGUAGUCCUAUGCAUCCACCGGAGUAUACCAAUACAAAUGGAGAGGAUAUCAGAAAGGGAGAAAGUCACUACAACAGAGAAUUGAAGAGGGAAGAACACUUACUUCUGCAAGCUACGAAUGAAGAGAGGGAAGAAGAGCAGGAGAUUAACAUCUAUAACCCACAACAUAAGGAUAAGCAAAGCAUUGUUCCUCAAAGAUCCUGUGAAGAACACGGUGAAGAAAGAGGCAGAAGAGUGAUGAGGAGGCAAUUAGGAAAUUCUUUCAUUUAGGGAUCUUUUAUGCUAUGCCUUUUCCACUGAAUUGGACCCAUUAGUUAAUGCUUUUGUUUUCAGCUUUUAUUUGGGCCUAUUUUUUCGGGUCUAUGCUUGUAAAUAUUUGGAUUGAUUGAAAUAAAGGCGCUCUUAGCUCCACCAAUUAAAUUUAAAAAAAAAAAAAAGCAAACCUGAAGAUAUUAAUUUGUAAUGAUA